GUACUCACUUCAACAGUACAUAUAAUAACAGUGAAAUGAUACAGAAAAUAAUCUCCUGCCCAAGGGUGACAUGCAACUUCAUGAAGCAUUCCAUAAUUUC
ensembl:snRNA U6 U6 spliceosomal RNA